rnacentral:rRNA from 1 species
UAACACGUAGGGUGCAAGCGUUAUCCGGAUUUACUGGGCGUAAAGCGCGCGCAGGCGGCAUCGUAAGUUGGACGUGAAAUCUUUCGGCUUAACCGGGAGGCGCCGUUCAAAACUACGAUGCUCGAGGGCAGAAGAGGGGAGUGGAAUUCCCGGUGUAGUGGUAAAAUGCUUAGAUAUCGGGAGGAACACCAGUGGCGAAGGCGACUCCCUGGUCUGCACCUGACGCUGAGGCGCGAAAGCGUGGGGAGCGAACGGG